rnacentral:lncRNA from 1 species
GCGAACCUUGCUCCUGGCUGUCACCCCAGGGUCCCCUCUGUGCCCCACAGCCCUCUGUGUGUCCCAGUUAUGACCCCCCGCAGUGAUUGUCUGUUGUUCUCCUCCUACUAGGGUAUGAGCAUCAGGGGGCAGGACUUGCAUCUGUCUUGUUUCUGGAACGUUCCGGAUGCCUGGCACAGAACUUGGCAGAGUAGGCGCUCCUUAAAGAUCUGUUGAACUGUCAUUCAGCGCAUAAACAAUCUGUUCAACACAUAUUUUUGCACAGCCUCUGCUGUGCCAGGCACGAAGCUAGGCGCUGGGGCAACAUUCCCUGAACCAAACAAAAAGCCUUGCUCUUGGAGCGUUUAGGUUCUCGCAAGGGAAAGCCACACUGUCCUAGGUUGGUUCUGGCAGAAACAGACCCUGAGGCUGGGAUCUGAGCGCUGACAGGACGCACCGGUAGGGAGAAGCAGAAGUGAGACAGAAAAGCGAGAGAAGCCACACAAGGAAGUGAAACAGCGGGUGACCGCUGUGGGCACCGGGCUCAGCUCCGAGGAGUUCUGGGGGACGGUGUCCCACCUGAGAGCGAGGAAGAUGGGGGUACUGAUCCAUCGCCUCCCAUUCUUCUGCCGCUCAGGGCUGCUCCUGGCCUGGCCCACCUGCAGGCUGAGCUGCUCCUGCCCCCAGAUGCGGGUCUUCAGGCAGCGUCUCGGGUGCCUGCAGCGAGCAGCCACGGGCAGGACAGAGAGAGAGCCGGAGAGCAGCGAGGGCUACGGGCGAGCCACAUAUGCAGUAAACAAGAACCACGAAGAAUAAGUAAAACGUGUCCCAGGGAGAGGAAACUGAGGCUCUGGCUGAAACGACCAAGCUCAGGCGAGGAGAAGGAACUGAGUCAAGAACCUGGUCGUCUGUCCCAAAGCCACUGAGGUGUCACAUGUAGAGAAUGCUCACAGUCGGGUCUCCACGGGGAGGACCUUGUCAUGCCCGCCUCACCGAGUUCCUGGAAAAUCCAGUGAGGCGAUGAACGUGGGAGCCCUGUGGAGUCAAGUUUUGUAUAUAUUUACAUGCAAAUAUACAAAUUAAUGUGCUUAUUUAUGUAUGCUCAGUGCAUGUAAGCAAAAAGAAGAUGAAAACUCUCUGCAGUCUCACCCUGAGUACGGAUGCACACGAAGGAGACAGUGACAAUGGGCGGCCUGGGAAGCCACUGAGAUUGUCUGAGCUUUCCCCAAGGAUCCGUGAAGAGAAUGUCGUGAGCGAACGUGGACCCUGCCAGCCACUCCUUUCUGAAGGUGGUCAGAACGAAAUGGCUUCAAUCCAGUGGAUCCUGGUCUAGCCGUCCCCCACCCCCUCCCAAGCCCAAACUCAAGAGCUAACUGAGAUCUUCACCACUGCACAACUAAAGCUGGGCAUGCGAUCAAGUAAACUCGUGUUCACAUUUGGCAUUGGGGUUUCUCUGGUGGGGAGAAGGAGUGGGGAACCCUCCUCGUCUGGAACAUUCCUGGAUAAGCCGCUGGGGUGGAAGGUGAGGGCCCGGCUGGUGGCAGGGUCAGGGCACCAAAGAGAAAGAGCCAGCCCGCUCUGCUGAUGAUUGUGGUUUCCUCCAGGGAGAGAGAAGGCAGGCGGGAGAAGAGAGCAGAGGAGGGAAGGGGGUGAGCUGUGUAGAGAUGUUGGGCCUGGACCGCACGGGGCAAAGGGCCUGAGGAGAGCCUGGCGCUGGCAGGCCAGACGGAUUUUGAGAACAGGGCUGGAGAAGGCGCUGUGGUGUUGCUUAGGGAAUAUCGCCCUGCGCAGCUCCUCCCUGUGACACCACGCUUCCUUAAAGUCGGCCAUUUCCCAGAAGCGUGGCGUGCAUUGGCUUUCUUUUCUUUGGUGGGGGAUGGUGGUGCUGAUGGAGAGGACAGAACGGCGUGGGGAGUUUUCAGGGGACCCACAGUGGAACAGAGAGACCACUUGAGGAAACAGGAGUCCACAGCUGGAAUCGACAUUGAGGGUAUCAGCUGUACUCCUAUCCACCCUGGAAGUUCACAAUACCUUAUGGAAAUCUUUCACAGGGUUAGAGCCAAGAGUUCUGGCCGAUCUUAUUUAGAUCUCGAGAGGCGGGGAGGCCCCAGCUAAGGUAGGGGUUGGAUAAAAACAUAGCAGAUUGCAACUCCAAGCACCAUCUCCAAAAUACAAUUGCAGCAGCGUCUGACGAAGGUUGAGGUAGACAUGCCCAGGAAGACCGUGUGCCCAGACCCAUGGCAUGCAUCAUAAUUGGCCUAAGCCCAUCUCAACAGUCCUGUUCUCCACUUUCCCAGCUAAGGGUGGCCUUGUGACCCAAUUCUGGCUAAUGAGACCUAAGCCAAAGUCGGCUGAGUCGGGCAUAGGGUGGGGUUGGAGGUUCUGAAAUCUUUUGUUUUCUCCUCCUGCCUUGAACACAGACAUGAUGGCUGGUGUGAUGGCAGCCACCUUGUUA